ensembl:lncRNA
UCUCUCUCUAUUUGAUGGUAGGAUUCUCUCUCUCUAUUUGACGGAUUCUCUCUCUAUUUGACGGUAGGAUUCUCUCUCUAUUUGACGGUAGGAUUCUCUCUAUUUGACGGUAGGAUUCUCUCUCUCUAUUUGACGGUAGGAUUCUCUCUCUCUAUUUGACGGUAGGAUUCUCUCUCUCUAUUUGACGGUAGGAUUCUCUCUCUCUAUUUGACGGUAGGAUUCUCUCUCUAUUUGACGGAUUCUCUCUCUCUAUUUGACGGUAGGAUUCUCUCUAUUUGACGGUAGGAUUCUCUCUCUCUAUUUGACGGUAGGAUUCUCUCUCUAUUUGACGGUAGGAUUCUCUCUCUAUUUGACGGUAGGAUUCUCUCUCUAUUUGACGGUAGGAUUCUCUCUCUAUUUGAC